GUAAACGUAAACUAUACAGUCAGUCUGGCCCACUGCUAUUUUUGUCGAGUCUGGAGAAAAGGCGAUACCCUUGACCACGUAACUCUUUUUACCAAACUAGAAAAGAUGGGUAAUUUUUCAUAAAGGUUUCGUGGAAAAUUUGUCACGUUUCACGCAGUUCUCGUCAAAAAGGUAUAUGGAACGAUCAGAGGAAGCGACAGCCAGUUUUAGACUGUUUGGUGACCAGCUUAUACCCACCACUCUAUUCUCGUACUCCUGUUUUAUAAAAUAAUUUUUCAGAAACUUAUCUAAAAUAUUUUUCCCUACUUUAUAUUUAAUUAUUACCUUAGUACGAGUUAAUGUUUUUCAUCUAUCCUUUAUUUUAUUAUUUCUUCAAAUAGAUUUUAUUUUUUAA